GUACCACUAAUUUAAACUUGUUUAAAAGUCGAAGUGGUUACUUGGCCCCACAAAUAUUUGUCAGCUUGCAGCUGGCAGGUUUUCUCUCAAGCCUUCUCAAGUCCAUCAGCCACAUUACAUCAGUGAAGUCCAGAACACAGGAUGAUACCCUGAAGUGAACCUGUGAAGAACCGAUGUAUGUUCUGAACUCUUACUGGAGGUACUUUUCUUGCUUCACGCGCACUUGUGAUGAAGCAAGAAUAAUUCACGUCUAUGGGAAAUAGCAAUUAGUUGAACAUAAAGGAGUGAAAGUGAAUAGGAUCCCUAGUGUUUUUGGUACAUGCAUCUACCAUAGGUAAUACCUCCUAUGUGUUAUGCCCAUGGAUAUGGCCUAUCAUAAAUGUCAGUUUAUUCGUAUAAAGGACAGUAUUGGAUUUUUUUUCUUUUGGGAUUAAAGAGUUUUCUACUUAAUACAAAGUGGCUGUGUCACAGCCUUCAGCUGAUGCGAUAACAGUGAGAUGAGGCCAGAUGCUACUGUUCAGGUAACAGCACUGAUCUGGGAAAUGUGGUGGUUGGCUAGGGAGCAAGGAAAGGCCUCUCUUCUCCCCCUCUUUCCAUGAUGUUUUAAAGACCAGUUUCUAAAUGUAAAAAUCUUGUCAAAUUUUUACCACCAAUCAGCCUGCCCCCUUGGAGAGGAGAGCUGCAGGGAUGAAACACCCAGACCUGACCCUGUGCACACCAGCAUACUUUAAAUCAGAUCAAUAGGUGCUAAGGUGCCCCAUACUCAGAGCAUGUUUCCUCUGGCACCCUUCAAAAUCUGCUGUGAGCAGGGCAGAGGUGUGAGGGUGAAAAGUCUCUAGCACGAAAGGCAGGUCCUGCAGAACACCUUUCCAUUUUUUGUUGUACCCAGUUGACUUUGUACUGUUAGGACCUGCUGACAGCUUGCACAAUCAGAUGAAGUGAAGUAGAAAUAUUCUUUCUUCCUGAUUGAGGAAGCACUGUUUGCUGAAUUUGGAGCGUGGUUGCAGCUACAGUGAAAAUCAGAUUUCACUGUUGACUUCUACAGCAUGAGGAUUUAAUGUUCAGAUUUUUGUAACUCCCUUCUAACAGUGUGAAGCAGUAAGUCAGAAUUAAAAGGCAGACAUAUGGUUACAAAUUCACCUGUGGAUUUGCAGCCUGUAAGCGAAUGAUGG
ensembl:lncRNA